AAUCAUUCUCUAAUGUUUCUUCUUCCUUUUAUCAAUCUAUUUAAGGUUUUUCUUUCUUCUGGAGGUUUCUUUUUCGUUAGUGUUUCCUUCUGAACGAAGAUGUUUGAGGUUUUUUCAUUCAUACAUAAUUUGAUUGGGUUUUAUUUCAUCUUUUGUGACAAAUGAUCUAAUUCAAUGACUCAAUUUUGUUAUGAUUUAGGGUUUUUUAAGUCUCUUUUUUACAGGAUUCGUCGGUGGAUGAUUGGGGGCUCAUCACCAGACGCCGAAACCCUAAGAGGGUGCCAUCAACUCCGCCGCCGAAUAGCCAUUGUUGAGCAGGGAAUGCAGUCUUCAAGAUUAAAUAAUAAUAGUUUAAUGAUCGGCUACAAUGUUGUGAACUAAGGACGGGCCAUUGUUAAACUAAGGACGGGCCAGUAGAUUCUUCUGGACAAGUUAUGUAUACAAAAGGAUAUGCGGAUCCUAAAUAUAUUAAAACAGGUCACUUCACCAAAAGCAGCAACAUAUACAGUUUCGGCGUGGUGCUUCUGGAACUCUUGACGGGGCAGCGGUGCAUUGACAAGAACGGUCCAGAGGGUGAGCGAAUACUGGUGGAGUUUGCUAAGCCUUUUCGGAACUCUAACGACGCUUGCAAGGAAUGCAGUGGCAACAAAUGUGAUUUCGCUGGUUUUAAUUCAUGGAAACGACGACGGCUUCAUGCAUAUUAGUGUUCUGUUUGGUUUCUCAGACAGAUAUAAAGGACGCAAUGACUCGAUCCGGUGAACAGGUGAAGGUGGCGCCAACUAAACUCAGGGUUACUACUGUCCUUACAGUCUUUAUAUAAUGUUAAAUGAUUUAUUGUUUUAGUUUCAAAAGACUCUUACAGAAUAAAUAUAUUCUCUACUCAUAUUCCAGUGAAAAUAUGUCUCAUGCAAUCUAAAGGUGAAGCUUCUAUUGUUGUUAACGACGGUGUGCGGCACUUUGUCGGUUUCCAGUCAGUUAACCACCUCGAAAACCAAAAGCCCGAGACCAGGACGCAGACAAACAUCCUUAACCGAUCAAUCUCGGGUCAAAAUUUAAGACAACAUGCAAGACUUCAAAGAGCAUACUCCGACCACAAUCUUUGUUAUUCUGCUAAUAAUGUUCAGGCGUCGAUGAAUCAACCGAAGUUGAAAAAACAGCCGUUCAAUGGGGGUUUUCAACUUGAAACCGUGAAGCUCGAUUGUUGGUUAUAAUAUUUGAUGUUAGUUAUGUUUAAACCCAUUUACUUGAAUGGGUCAAUGUUAGUUAUGUUUCAACUCAAACAGGUCAAGUUAAAAACAUACGAGUUUGUCGGCUUUACGGUGUGCCAUUUUCAUGUUUCUUUGAUUUUUGGUCUGGUUUGUUCUUGGAUUUGAGCUUUAUGUAUCUGAAUUUGAUUUUAUUGCUGGGUUUCUAUAUAAUUAUUGAGUUCGAUGGAAUGCUUUUGCUGUAACGGAUUUGUAUUUAGCCUCAGAUUGAUGUUUUUUUUUCUUCUUACUCAUCUUAUUUUGAUUUUAUUGGUGUCUUUUGGUUAUAUUAGGAUUCCGGCGAACUGAUUGGAGGUAAAACUGGCCAAACAUCAGGACGAAAAAUGACAUUUUACUCUAAUUUUCAUAGAUAAAUGUUAUUUAUUUGUACCUUCCAGGUUGCUGGAUUGUUGAACAAAAUGUAGUUGCAUGCGGAACAAUCUGUCUCUGAAGAUAACGAAUGCACUUUUAUUGUGUCGGUUCCCCCUACCAGAAGUGACGUUCUUCAUGCAUGUGAUGUAGCAGAGGACGUGGCGAUUGCUUAUGGUUUCAAUAAAAUUCCAAAGCGGAUGCCUGCAUCUUUGAAGCCCUUGCUGCUGAAUCAGUUCAGUGACCUUAUUAGAACAGAGCUUGGAGUUUUAUGCAGCUGAGCUUAUAGAUGUGUGCCGAGGAGACACUUACAGAGGACUAUAUGUUUGCUGGAUACAAUUAGACAGUUGAGGGGUUUAAGGAGUCCCGAGAUACAUAUCAUUAUCGUAAAUUUCAACCUUCACCAAAGAGGAGUUAAAUCUUUUAUAGUUGUGGCGCCCUUGAAGAUGAAAUUGUAAAAGAUUUUUGUUUUUUUAUUAAAUUAUACAGGUACGUAGAAAAUGACAGCAUUUUAUUAAACAGACCUGUGCAUCAUUGAAUGCUAUUAAUUUUUUUCUGUUUUAUCCAAAAUUUAUAUCAUUAUGGUGAGAUAUGCCUGAUAAACAGUAAGGCCCUUGCAAAAUCCAUCAAUUGUUUAAUAAGUACAUCAGCCAUACUUUUUGUCAUUUAUUGUUCAAAGUCUACUUCAUCGAUGGACAAAAUCAACAUUCAAGAAAAGCAUAAUGAGAUUCUUAAUAAAAUUGAGCCACACAACUUAACAUAUAACCAUCUUUCUGGAGUGCUAAAUCAUGUUUUAUUGUAUGUACUUCUCCUUGAUCUGCCGAAAAGGUACAUCAAAACAUUUUGCCUCCGAGUUUCAAGAACUUAAAGAACCAUUGAAUAUUUUUUAUAGUUUCAUUUGGUUGUUUUUGUAAAGCUUUUGUUGAGAUGAAGCAUGUAAUUUCAUUUGGUUCUUUUUUUAUCAAGCAAGUUUUAAGCAUUCGGGGACUCUUUGGGUGACAUUGUAUCCGUUGGAUAACUCGACCUGUUCCAUUUAUAACCAAGCUUUUGUAUAUCCUUGCAUUAUUUGAUGAUUUAUGCAUCUUAGUAGACAUGUAUGUGAUGUUUAUCUGAUCUUAACCAAAGAAAUGUUUGUACUGUUUUAAUUCUUUGAUCAAACCUCUUCUUUCUUGCAAUAUUUACAUGACCAAAAGUAGCAGCAGAUCAGAACAUCCCAAGUAUUAUCGCUAUCUUAACUAUAUAUUGUUUUAACUUUUCAUCUCUGCAUUUAGUAAUCUUUAUUCGAAAUUUCAAAAUUACUUUUUUGGCAAUCAUUUAUCAUUUUAUUGUGAAUUAUUGAUUAGUGUCUUAUUUUUUUAAUUUGAGGGUCAACGUGGUUUCCAUAUUUUCCCUUCCUAAAUUUCCUUAUUACAUAUUUACCCAACUCACAAAAUCAAUUACAUAUUCCCCUUUUUAUUUAAAAUUACCUAAUUACCCUUGCCUUUGCCCUGUCUAUACAAUAUUGUAACACGCGCCUUCACCAAUCGCCACCGGAGUUAUCUAUCCUGCCGGUUAGGGUUUCGCUUGCCUUCACUAAUCACCACCGGAGGUAGAUGAAAGAGAUAAAUCGCCGACAUUUGCUGUUCCAUUCUAUCAUCUGCCGACUAUUAACCAGGGGCCUAAAUAAUCUUUGAAUUCGAUCAAGGGCUAAAGAAAGGAUCUAUAGUUGGCUACACAAUGCAUGUGGAAGGGAAGGAUUGCAAGGAGAGAGCUAAGAAAACUUAAAAUGGCCACAAGAAACAGG